AGAGUUUGAUCAUGGCUCAGGAUGAACGCUAGCGGCAGGCUUAAUACAUGCAAGACGAACGGCAAGUUGAAUAGCAAUAUUUGACCUAGAGUGUCGCAAGGGUGCGUAACACGUAUGCAAUCUACCCGCAACAGGAGAAUAGCUCGGGGAAACUCGAAUUAACACUCCAUAAGAUCACACGAGGGCAUCUGAANNGAUUAAAACUGAGGUGGUUGCGGAUGAGCAUGCGUAUGAUUAGCUAGUUGGUAGUGUAACGGACUACCAAGGCAAUGAUCAUUAGGGGAACUGAGAGGUUGAUCCCCCACACUGGCACUGAGAUACGGGCCAGACUCCUACGGGAGGCAGCAGUAGGGAAUAUUGGACAAUGGGUGAGAGCCUGAUCCAGCCAUGCCGCGUGCAGGAAGACGGCCUUCUGGGUUGUAAACUGCUUUAGCCUGGGGAUAAAACGACCAUGCGUGGUUAAUUGAAGGUACCAGGAUAAUAAGCCACGGCUAACUACGUGCCAGCAGCCGCGGUAAUACGUAGGUGGCAAGCGUUGUCCGGAUUUAUUGGGUUUAAAGGGUGCGUAGGCGGUUUCAUAAGUCAGUGGUGAAAUACGGCAGCUUAACUGUCGAGGUGCCAUUGAUACUGUGGAACUUGAGUACAGACGAGGUAGGCGGAAUUGACGGUGUAGCGGUGAAAUGCUUAGAUAUCGUCAAGAACACCGAUAGCGAAGGCAGCUUACUAGACUGUAACUGACGCUGAGCACGAAAGUGUGGGGAUCAAACAGGAUUAGAUACCCUAGUAGUCC
rnacentral:rRNA from 1 species